GCCAGUGUUGUGCAGUGGUUUGGGUGCUGGACUGCAACUCUGGAGACCAGGGUUCAAUUCCCAGUUUGACC
rnacentral:tRNA from 1 species